rnacentral:rRNA from 1 species
GGACCUAAGCUGAGGCCGAAAGGCGUAGGUGAUGGACAACAGGUUGAUAUUCCUGUACUACCGAUAACCGUUUGAGAGAAGGGAUGACACAGUAGGAUAAGCUAAGCACACUGUUGGUUAUGUGUGCCCAAGCAUUGAGGCAGUCAAAGUAGGCAAAUCCGCUUUGAUAAUGCUGGGAUGUGAUGGGGAGCGAAAUUUAGUAGCGAAGUAGCUGAUUUCACACUGUCAAGAAAAGUCUCUAUCGAGGUUAAAGGUACCCGUACCGCAAACCGACACAGGUGGGUGAGGAGAGUAUCCUAAGGCCAGCGAGAGAACUGUUGUUAAGGAACUCGGCAAAAUGACCCCGUAACUUAGGGAUAAGGGGUGCCACCAUCAGGUGGCCGCAGAGAAUAGGCCCAAGCGACUGUUUACCAAAAACAUAGGUUUCUGCUAAGUCGCAAGACGAUGUAUAGGAGCUGACGCCUGCCCGGUGCUGGAAGGUUAAGGGGAUCUGUUAGAGCAAUCGAAGCAGUGAACUUAAGCCCCAGUAAACGGCGGCCGUAACUAUAACGGUCCUAAGGUAGCGAAAUUCCUUGUCGGGUAAGUUCCGACCCGCACGAAAGGCGUAACGAUUUGGGCACUGUCUCAACAACAGACUCGGUGAAAUUGUAAUUCCGGUGAAGAUGCCGGAUACCUGCGACAGGACGGAAAGACCCCAUGGAGCUUUACUGUAGCUUGACAUUGGGUCUUGGUACUACAUGUACAGGAUAGGUGGGAGGCUUUGAAACCAGGACGCCAGUUUUGGCGGAGCCAUCCUUGGGAUACCACCCUUGUAGUACUGGGACUCUAACCAUAGGCCAUGAAUCUGGUCUUGGGACACUGUCAGGUGGGCAGUUUGACUGGGGCGGUCGCCUCCCAAAAGGUAACGGAGGCGCUCAAAGGUUCUCUCAGUACGGUCGGAAAUCGUACGUAGAGUGUAAAGGCAAAAGAGAGCUUGAUUGCAAGACAUACAGGUCGAGCAAGGAUGAAAAUCGGACUUAGUGAUCCGGUGGUUCUGCGUGGAAGGGCCAUCGCUCAACGGAUAAAAGCUACCCUGGGGAUAACAGGCUUAUCUCCCCCAAGAGUCCACAUCGACGGGGAGGUUUGGCACCUCGAUGUCGGCUCAUCACAUCCUGGGGCUGUAGUAGGUCCCAAGGGUUGGGCUGUUCGCCCAUUAAAGUGGUACGCGAGCUGGGUUCAGAACGUCGUGAGACAGUUCGGUCCCUAUCCGUCGCAGGCGUAGGAAAUUUGAGAAGACCUGUCCUUAGUACGAGAGGACCGGGAUGGACGUACCUCUGGUGUACCAGUUGUCCUGCCAAGGGCAUGGCUGGGUAGCUAUGUACGGAAUGGAUAAGCGCUGAAAGCAUCUAAGCGCGAAGCCAACUUCAAGAUAAGAUUUCCCACCGCAAGGGUAAGACCCCAGAAAGACUAUCUGGUUGAUAGGUCGAAGGUGUAAGUGCAGCAAUGUAUUUAGCUUAUCGAUACUAAUAGGUCGAGGACUUGACCAA